rnacentral:lncRNA from 1 species
UAAAUACUCCUUUGUUCAAUAACUUAUAUUUUUGUGACAUUUUUUAUGUUAACAUAAUUUUAUAUCAGUUUUUCUUUUCAAAAGUUAACAAUGUGGAUGUUUUUAAAAAAUUUACAGAUUUACAAUUAUUCUCUUGGUCAAUAUACAUGAUAUAAGCAAUUCAAAUCCCGUGUCUUCUAGGAAUUGAAAGGAACAGAAUGUUUUGACUAACUUGGUAUCAAAAUUCUGUAAAAAAAAUAUAUUUUAAUCAACCAUCAAAAUUUAUAUAAAGUUUUAAGUAAGAAAGAGUAGUUAUUUGUUUAGGCAUUCAGGUAUGUGUAUGUAAAUUCUUGUAAUUCUAAUAACAUCUAAAAUAUCUGUAAUGGUAGUAAAAUAUAACCUCCCUUUAGAACACUAGUUAAUACUAUUAAAACACAUUUUGAGUCAAUUUGAUGUUUAUUGUAGUCUCUGGUUCCUGCAGACACUUAACAGUUUUGACAACUAGAUAAAUUUCAAUAUAAUGGUUAUUCUAGAAAACAAAUUUCAAAAUCAUUACAAAACUUUUCAUUGAACUCAUGAACCUGACUAAAAUUGGAGCACUAUUUAAGUGUUUAAACACUGUAAAUUUUCCUAUAAUAUUUUAGGUGUAUAUGACUAGGUUAAAUGAUCAUAUUGGCCACAAAUAUGACUGGAUUUAUCAGAUGGCAAAUUCAUAUUUAUAAAAAAACAAACUUCAGUGGUUUUCUUUGUCCAUUACAAUUUUGCCAUGUGUAAACCAGUUUGGCUGCUUGGCAAGGAAAAUAACUUGCCUCAAAUCAAAUUUUCGAUGUCAAAAUCAUGCUUCUAGAAACAGAUUUUGAUAAUGACUGUACUGAUUCCCUGUAUCAUGUUAAGAUAAUUGUCACUAGGAUCAACUUUUUAAGGUCAAUUUUGAAAAAUCUUAAAGAAAAUCUGAAAUUUAAUUUUACUUCACAUCCAUUUAAGAAG